CAUGAACAAAGAGUUGGCGGGAGCUGCGGACUCGGGCACCCGCGAAAUCAAGCUAACUGACACUGAACCACAGGAGAAAGAAAUUGAUAGUGAAGAUUCAGAAGGCAAGAAGAAGAACAUAGAGAAGGACAAGGACGAAACGAAGAAGAGGAAGAAGGAUGAUGGUGAGGACGAUGAAGGCGAGAAGAAAGACAAAGAAAAGAAAGAGAAGAAGAAGGACAAGGGUGACAAGAAGGGAGAUGGUAAGAAGAAAGAGGGUGAUGGCGAUGGCGAUGAAGGCAAAGAAGGUAAGAAGAAAGACAAGGAGAAGAAAGAGAAGACGAAAGACAAGGGUGCGAAGGAG
rnacentral:lncRNA from 1 species